AGUGAACGCUGGCGGUAGGCCUAACACAUGCAAGUCGAACGGCAGCACAGUAAGAGCUUGCUCUUACGGGUGGCGAGUGGCGGACGGGUGAGGAAUACAUCGGAAUCUACUUUUUCGUGGGGGAUAACGUAGGGAAACUUACGCUAAUACCGCAUACGACCUACGGGUGAAAGCAGGGGAUCUUCGGACCUUGCGCGAUUGAAUGAGCCGAUGUCGGAUUAGCUAGUUGGCGGGGUAAAGGCCCACCAAGGCGACGAUCCGUAGCGGGUCUGAGAGGAUGAACAGCCACACUGGAACUGAGGCACGGUCCAGACUCCUACGGGAGGCAGCAGUAGGGAAUAUUGGACAAUGGGCGGAAGCCUGAUCCAGCCAUACCGCGUGGGUGAAGAAGGCCUUCGGGUUGUAAAGCCCUUUUGUUGGGAAAGAAAAGCAUCAGGUUAAUACCCCGAUGUUCUGACGGUACCCAAAGAAUAAGCACCGGCUAACUUCGUG
rnacentral:rRNA from 1 species